AUGCUCACUUCAGCAGCACAUGUGCUAAAAUGGGAUCAGCAUAGAGAGCUUUAGAAUGGCCCCUGAACAAGAAUGACAUGCAAAUUUGUGAAGCAUUCCAUAUUUUU